UGGGGAAUAUUGCACAAUGGGGGAAACCCUGAUGCAGCGACGCCGCGUGAACGAAGAAGGUAUUCGUAUCGUAAAGUUCUGUCCUAUGGGAAGAUAAUGACAGUACCAUAGAAGAAAGCUCCGGCUAAAUACGUGCCAGCAGCCGCGGUAAUACGUAUGGAGCGAGCGUUGUCCGGAAUUAUUGGGCGUAAAGGGUACGCAGGCGGUUUAAUAAGUCGAAUGUUAAAGAUCGGGGCUCAACCCCGUAAAGCAUUGGAAACUGAUAAACUUGAGUAGUGGAGAGGAAAGUGGAAUUCCUAGUGUAGUGGUGAAAUACGUAGAUAUGAGGAGGAAUACCAGUAGCGAAGGCGACUUUCUGGACACAAACUGACGCUGAGGUACGAAAGCGUGGGGAGCAAACAGG
rnacentral:rRNA from 1 species